GUGUGAGUAUGGACUACAAAAUGGUGCGUUAGCCGGGAACCUAUCUCAAGUAGCACAGAAGGGGCAGCCGCCCCUGUGGAAAGAGGAGGCUGUUGAGCUGACACCUAGAACAGGAGUAUUAUCAAUUCAGUUAGGAAAUAAAAGAGAAGCAGAAGCAGAGUAGGAAAGAAAGAUACCUGAAACGCAGGGAAUCAAGUACCCUGUGGAAUAGCCCAGAGAACUGACACCGGAGCAGCCAGAAGGUUCGGAGGAAGAAGAGGAGUGGGGAAGGUUUCAG
rnacentral:lncRNA from 1 species